GAGUUUGAUCAUGGCUCAGGACGAACGCUGGCGGCGUGCCUAAUACAUGCAAGUCGAGCGGACAGAUGGGAGCUUGCUCCCUGAUGUUAGCGGCGGACGGGUGAGUAACACGUGGGUAACCUGCCUGUAAGACUGGGAUAACUCCGGGAAACCGGGGCUAAUACCGGAUGCUUGUUUGAACCGCAUGGUUCAAAUAUAAAAGGUGGCUUCGGCUACCACUUACAGAUGGACCCGCGGCGCAUUAGCUAGUUGGUGAGGUAACGGCUCACCAAGGCAACGAUGCGUAGCCGACCUGAGAGGGUGAUCGGCCACACUGGGACUGAGACACGGCCCAGACUCCUACGGGAGGCAGCAGUAGGGAAUCUUCCGCAAUGGACGAAAGUCUGACGGAGCAACGCCGCGUGAGUGAUGAAGGUUUUCGGAUCGUAAAGCUCUGUUGUUAGGGAAGAACAAGUACCGUUCGAAUAGGGCGGUACCUUGACGGUACCUAACCAGAAAGCCACGGCUAACU
rnacentral:rRNA from 1 species